rnacentral:rRNA from 2 species
GAGGUUACUUAACGCAUGGUGUGGAUGCCUUGACUGAAGCAAGCGAUGAAGGACGUAGGAGGCUGCGAUAAGCCCCGGGGAGCUGUCAACCAAGCUUUGAUCCGAGGAUUUCCGAAUGAGGCAACUCUCUCACUUUUUAGUGAGAAACCGUAUCUGAAUACAUAGGGUACGGUAGCGCACCCUGGGAAUUGAAACAUCUUAGUACCAGGAGGAAAAGAAAUUAAUAAAGAUUCCGUAAGUAGUGGCGAGCGAACGCGGAAUAGCCUAAACCACCGAGCUUGCUCGUGUGGGGUUGCAGGGCCUAUAGACUCGAUUGAUCGGGGUCGUCGUAUUUUUGUUAGCAAAAUGUUUUGGAAAGAACAACCAAAGAGGGUAAUAGUCCCGUAUGUGAAAACAAAAAUGCCACGAUGUAUAGGUACCUAAGUAGGGCGGGGCUGGAGAAACCCCGUUUGAAUCUGGGAGCACUAACUUCCAAGGCUAAAUAUUGCUUCAGAUCGAUAGUGAACUAGUACCGUGAGGGAAAGGUGAAAAGUAUCCCGAUAAGGGAGGUGAAAUAGAACUGAAACUCCAUGCUAACGAAGAGUCGGAGCCUUGUUUAAUCAGGGUGACGGCGUGCUUUUUGCAGCACGAUCCAACGAGUUAGUUUUACGCGGCUGUCUAAGGGAUGAUGAAUUCCGGAGACAUAGUGAAAGCGAGCCUUAAUAGGGCGAAACGGAGCAUACACUAAGAAUCUCUUUCGUUGUGAGAGAGAAAAAUAUCGAGCGAAAAUUUUGAAGAGUUUUGAGACGUAGUCAAAGAAAUGUCUACGACGAAAAUCACUGAGAAAUUUGCAGCCGAGAUUUUUAUUUCGCAACAGAAAAUGGAUUUUUAGUGUAUGCUCCAAGGUCGCGUGGACUAGACCCGAAGCCAGACGAGCUACAUAUGAGCAGGAUGAAGCGUCGGUAAAACGACGUGGAGGUCCGCACCCACUUGCUGUGCAACUCAAGGGGAUGACUUGUGUGUAGGGGAGAAAUUCCAAUCGAGUUUGGCAAUAGCUGGUUCUCUCUGAAAUAGCUUGAGGGCUAGCGUCUUGUAAAUUGUAUCCGAGGGGUAGAGCUACUGGAUGAGAAUUCGCGGUUUACCGUAGUGUUUUCAACCAAACUCCGAAUACUCGCGAUAUGUACCAAGGCAGUCAGUACUCCGGGGCUAAGCUCGGAGCACAAAAGGGAAAAAGCCCAGAUCGUCAGCUAAGGUCCCAAAAUUUGUAUUAAGUGGGAAAGGAAGUGAAGACUCUUAGACACUUAGGAGGUUGGCUUAGAAGCAGCAAUCCUUUAAAGAGUGCGUAAUAGCUCACUAAUCUAGAGUCUUCGCGCCGACAAUUUAACGGGGCUAAAAUACAAUACCGAAGCUACGGACUGUAUCGCAAGAUACAGUGGUAAGAGAGCGUUCCAUAUGCACUGAAGCAGAAGGGUGACCGACUGUGGAGCGUAUGGAAGUGAGAAUGUUGGAAUGAGUAACCGCAAUGAGGGUGAGAGCCCCUCACAUCGAAAGUCCGAGGUUUCCUGGGCCAUGGUGAUCAUCCCAGGNNNNNNNNNNNGAAAAUCCGUACGGCACUAGUCCAAGAAGAAUGACGAAGUCUUACUACGGUAAGAUGAAGAAAAGGGAGCGGGGUGCCAGGAAAAUCUUCUAAGGUUCGUAUACAAGUAUCCGUACCGCAAACCGACACAGGUGGACAGGGCGAGUAGCCUAAGAUGAACGGGAGAGAAUUCGUUAAGGAACUCGGCAAAAAAGCUAGACGUAAGUUCGCAAUAUGUCUUGCCAACCGUUAGGUUGGCCGCAGCAAAAGUUUUCCAAGCAACUGUUUAUCAAAAACACAGGUCUCUGCAAACCCGCAAGGGGAAGUAUAGGGGCUGACACCUGACCAGUGCUGGAACGUUAACGGGAGCGGUGCAAGCCAAUCCCCGAAGCGCCAGUGAACGUCGGCGAUAACUAUAAUCGUCCUAAGGUUCUGGUUCUGUGAAGAACGGAAUCAGAAGGACUGGGACGAUUGUGGUGAGUGUGAUAAAGAGGAAAGAACAAAAUAUUACAAACAAGGAAAAGUAAUUGCUUCUAUUGAAUUGUUUCAAUGGGUCCAAAAUACUUAGCCAUAUGCUGGAAACUCUGGAGUAUCUGAUGAUACUAUGGUAUAAUUAUUCCAUAGAAUAAAAUAUGCCAAGUAAAAAAUCAAUCAGUGUGUCUCACUCUUGUAGUAGUGGAACGCCAGACAAUCAGCAGGAAAGACUAAAAACCAUAGGCUGGAUAACCGGUUAUGUAGAUGGAGAAGGUUGUUUCUCCGUGAGUUUUAUUAAAAAUGCUACCACAAAGAGUGGUUGGCAAAUAUUUCCAGAAUUUGUGGUAACACAAGGAGGGAAAAGUAAGAAUUCACUUGAAAUAAUCCAAAACUUCUUCGAAUGUGGAAAGAUAUUUGUGAAUCGACGAUAUGAUAAUCAUCGAGAACAUAUAUAUCGUUACUGUGUUCGAUCACAAGAAAAUCUUCGAAAAAUAAUUAUUCCAUUUUUUGAAGAACAUCAACUCCGAACAGCUAAAAAAGAAGACUUCAAACAUUUUUCUUUUAUUCUGCAUCAGAUGAAACUUAAAAAACAUCUCACAGAAAAAGGAAUGAUGGUGAUUGCAAAACGAGUUGAGAAAAUGAAUCACAAGAAAUCUUCGAGGUUUUUAGAAUCCUCAGAGACCAAACGCUAAGCUCGUGCAAACGAGAAAAGAGAGUCCGUGCUUAUCGGCGACGAUAAGAUAACAUAACAGAGCGAAAUUCCUUGUCAGGUAAGUUCUGACGCGCAUGAAAGGUGUAAUGACUUGGAAACUGUCUCAACGAACAUCCCGGUGAAAUUGCAAUGACGGUAAAGAUGCCGUCGACCUACAGCUAGACGAAAAGACCCCAUGGAGCUUUACUAUAACUUGGUAUUGACUUAAAGUUUUUGCUGCCGAGCAUAGGUGGGAGACUAUGAAGCACUCUUUCAGGAGAGUGUGGAGUCAUCACUGGAAUACCACUCUGCAAAGAUUUUAAUUCUAACCUACGGCCAUUAUCUGGUCGGGGGACAGUGCCUGGUGGGUAGUUUGACUGGGGCGGUCGCCUCCUAAAGUGCAACGGAGGCGUUUACAAAGGUUCUCUAGACCCGGAUGGAAAUCGGGUCGAUAGCGCAAAAGCAUAAGAGAGCUUUACUGAGAGACCGAUCAGUCGAUCAGUUACGAAAGUAGAAUUUAGUGAACCGACCAUUACUCGUAGGAGUGUGGAAGAUCAUCAGAUAAAAGUUACCCUGGGGAUAACAGGCUGAUCUUGCCCAAGAGUCCAUAUCGACGGCAAGGUUUGGCACCUCGAUGUCGGCUCAUCACAUCCUGGGGGUGGAGAAGCUCCCAAGGGUUUGGCUGUUCGCCAAUUAAAGUGGUACGUGAGCUGGGUUCAAACCGUCGUGAGACAGGUUGGUUUCCUAUCUGCUGUAGGCGUGUGUUGCUUGAGAGAACUCUUUCCUAGUACGAGAGGACCGGAAAGAACGAACCUCUGGUGUAUCUGCUGUUCCGCCAGGAGCAUCGCAGAGUAGCUACGUUCGGGUAGGAUAACCGCUGAAAGCAUCUAAGCGGGAAGCCAAGCUCAAGAUAAGGCAACAGUACAAGUUUACUUGUACAAAAUUUCCUAGAAGAUUACUAGGUUGAUAGGCUGCAGAUGUAAGUCCUGAGAGGGAUUCAGUCAAGCAGUACUAAUAAAUUUAUU